UUCCAGGUUGGAGACCCCGCUUCUGCCUUCUUUUCCUUUGUUUGGAAAAGAAUUACAUGUAAAACUCCCAGCUAUUGAUACUCUCCAUUGAAUUACUAUAAUUUCUUCAGUGCAAAUGAUGGGUUUGUUCCUCUGAAGAAAAAUUGUUGGAAUGCUUGAAUAGUGGAGUGAAGAACUAGAUUUUAUCUAUAUAUAUAUAGAUAGAAAGCAAAGGAAAUCCAGUGUCCAGAAGUGUCACUCUUUUGUGACAAUACAUAAAGUCCCUGCUUGCAGAAGACAAGUGCUAAAUGAGACUUGAAAUACUUUGACAGCAUAUUACCAGGAUUUUUCUGUCAUUCAACAGAGGGGAAAUAACAUCAAAGACAAUUUCAUCCUUUUGGCCAAAAAGAAAUUACAAAACACAUUAUUCAUCCUGCAAUUUAUCAGCCUACAAAAUAAACACAUACAGCAGGACCAUGUGAGUUUUUUACACAGUCAGGUUUGCAUUUAUUUAGUGACUGUUUCCUUCAAUUAGGAGUUCGUUGUUCUGGGCACUGCAGAAGGAUGCAGCAGAAAGGUGUUCUAUUCUCUUAAGAAUCACAUGACAUUAACCAUACUCCAGGUGUUUUCACUCCCUCUCUCCUCUUUGCUCCCUGAUUUUUUGCAGCUUCUGCCUGUUCCUUGGAGAUUAUUUCUGUUCCUGGUAAAAGAUGAGGGAAGAAUUUGUGUUUAUGAAAUCACAGAGUUUAUUUCUGUCCAGUUGGCCUAAAUAAUAUUCACUACAUUUAGAGUGGUCAAUGCCCCUUUUUCAUCCCAGAUUUCAUUUUGUUCUGGUUAUGUGCAUAUAAA